rnacentral:rRNA from 1 species
GAUGAACGCUGGCGGCGUGCCUAAUACAUGCAAGUCGAGCGAAUAGACGAGGAGCUUGCUCCUCUGACGUUAGCGGCGGACGGGUGAGUAACACGUGGAUAACCUACCUAUAAGACUGGGAUAACUUCGGGAAACCGGAGCUAAUACCGGAUAAUAUAUUGAACCGCAUGGUUCAAUAGUGAAAGACGGUUUUGCUGUCACUUAUAGAUGGAUCCGCGCCGCAUUAGCUAGUUGGUAAGGUAACGGCGUACCAAGGCAACGAUGCGUAGCCGACCUGAGAGGGUGAUCGGCCACACUGGAACUGAGACACGGUCCAGACUCCUACGGGAGGCAGCAGUAGGGAAUCUUCCGCAAUGGGCGAAAGCCUGACGGAGCAACGCCGCGUGAGUGAUGAAGGUCUUCGGAUCGUAAAACUCUGUUAUUAGGGAAGAACAAAUGUGUAAGUAACUAUGCACGUCUUGACGGUACCUAAUCAGAAAGCCACGGCUAACUACGUG